rnacentral:tRNA from 1 species
CGGGACGUGGCGCAGUCUGGAUAGCGCGCUUGACUGGGGGUCAAGAGGUCGCGGGUUCAAAUCCCGCCGUCCCGA